rnacentral:rRNA from 1 species
UACCAGCACCCCGAGUGGUCGGGACGAUUAUUGGGCCUAAAGCAUCCGUAGCCGGUUCUACAAGUCUUCCGUUAAAUCCCCCUGCUUAACAGAUGGGCUGCGGAGGAUACUAUAGAGCUAGGAGGCGGGAGAGGCAAGCGGUACUUAGUGGGUAGGGGUAAAAUCCGUUGAUCCAUUGAAGACCACCAGUGGCGAAGGCGGCUUGCCAGAUCGCACUCGACGGUGAGGGAUGAAAGCUGGGGGAGCAAACCGG